rnacentral:rRNA from 1 species
GGCGGACGGGUGAGGAAUACGUAGGAAUCUGCCCUUAAGUGGGGGAUAACCCGGGGAAACCCGGAUUAAUACCGCAUGAUCUCGAAAGAGCAAAGCAGGGGAUCGCAAGACCUUGCGCUUUUGGAGGAGCCUACGUCGGAUUAGCUAGUUGGUGAGGUAAAGGCUCACCAAGGCGACGAUCCGUAACUGGUCUGAGAGGAUGAUCAGUCACACCGGAACUGAGACACGGUCCGGACUCCUACGGGAGGCAGCAGUGGGGAAUAUUGGACAAUGGGCGAAAGCCUGAUCCAGCAAUGCCGCGUGUGUGAAGAAGGCCUUCGGGUUGUAAAGCACUUUAAGUUGGGAAGAAAAAACUUCGUUUAAUACAUGAAGUCUUGACGGUACCGACAGAAUAAGCACCGGCUAACUCUGUGCCAGCAGCCGCGGUAAUACAGAGGGUGCUAGCGUUAAUCGGAUUUACUGGGCGUAAAGCGUGCGUAGGUGGCGAUUUAAGUCGGAUGUGAAAGCCCUGGGCUUAACCUGGGAACGGCAUUCGAUACUGGAUGGCUAGAGAUCGGUAGAGGGCAGCGGAAUUCCGGGUGUAGCGGUGAAAUGCGUAGAUAUCCGGAGGAACACCGAUGGCGAAGGCAACUGCCUGGGCCUGAUCUGACACUGAGGCACGAAAGCGUGGGUAGCAAACAGGAUUAGAUACCCUGGUAGUCCACGCUGUAAACGAUGAGAACUUGACGUCUGCUUGCUAUGCGAGUAGGUGUCGUAGCUAACGCGAUAAGUUCCUCCGCCUGGGGAGUACGGCCGCAAGGUUGAAACUCAAAGGAAUUGACGGGGGCCCGCACAAGCGGUGGAGUAUGUGGUUUAUUUCGAUGCAACGCGAAGAACCUUACCUGGUCUUGACAAUGUCUGGAAGUCUGCAGAGAUGCGGAUGUGCCUUCGGGAUCCAGAACACAGUGCUGCAUGGCUGUCGUCAGCUCGUGUCGUGAGAUGUUGGGUUAAGUUCCCGCCACGACGGCACACUUUGCCUUUAAGUUGCCAUCCAUUGAGUUGGCACUCUAAAGG